GGAUUAUGUAACAAUGGAAAAGUAAUUAACAUCAAUUAACAUCAAUUAGCGAUCACGCUACCUUGAAUCUUAGUUAGUGAUAUCGAUUGUUUAUUAGAAUAACAAUAUGAUACCGUUAUCAUUUAAAUAAUGACAUUCUGGUAUCGGUAUCAUUAAACCGAAUUCAAUAAAGCAUCAAUUAGCGUCUCGUAGUCAUUGUUAUCAAAG